UUUAUGGAGAGUUUGAUCCUGGCUCAGGAUGAACGCUGGCGGCGUGCCUAAUACAUGCAAGUCGAGCGAACGGACGAGAAGCUUGCUUCUCUGAUGUUAGCGGCGGACGGGUGAGUAACACGUGGAUAACCUACCUAUAAGACUGGGAUAACUUCGGGAAACCGGAGCUAAUACCGGAUAAUAUUUUGAACCGCAUGGUUCAAAAGUGAAAGACGGUCUUGCUGUCACUUAUAGAUGGAUCCGCGCUGCAUUAGCUAGUUGGUAAGGUAACGGCUUACCAAGGCAACGAUGCAUAGCCGACCUGAGAGGGUGAUCGGCCACACUGGAACUGAGACACGGUCCAGACUCCUACGGGAGGCAGCAGUAGGGAAUCUUCCGCAAUGGGCGAAAGCCUGACGGAGCAACGCCGCGUGAGUGAUGAAGGUCUUCGGAUCGUAAAACUCUGUUAUUAGGGAAGAACAUAUGUGUAAGUAACUGUGCACAUCUUGACGGUACCUAAUCAGAAAGCCACGGCUAACUACGUGCCAGCAGCCGCGGUAAUACGUAGGUGGCAAGCGUUAUCCGGAAUUAUUGGGCGUAAAGCGCGCGUAGGCGGUUUUUUAAGUCUGAUGUGAAAGCCCACGGCUCAACCGUGGAGGGUCAUUGGAAACUGGAAAACUUGAGUGCAGAAGAGGAAAGUGGAAUUCCAUGUGUAGCGGUGAAAUGCGCAGAGAUAUGGAGGAACACCAGUGGCGAAGGCGACUUUCUGGUCUGUAACUGACGCUGAUGUGCGAAAGCGUGGGGAUCAAACAGGAUUAGAUACCCUGGUAGUCCACGCCGUAAACGAUGAGUGCUAAGUGUUAGGGGGUUUCCGCCCCUUAGUGCUGCAGCUAACGCAUUAAGCACUCCGCCUGGGGAGUACGACCGCAAGGUUGAAACUCAAAGGAAUUGACGGGGACCCGCACAAGCGGUGGAGCAUGUGGUUUAAUUCGAAGCAACGCGAAGAACCUUACCAAAUCUUGACAUCCUUUGACAACUCUAGAGAUAGAGCCUUCCCCUUCGGGGGACAAAGUGACAGGUGGUGCAUGGUUGUCGUCAGCUCGUGUCGUGAGAUGUUGGGUUAAGUCCCGCAACGAGCGCAACCCUUAAGCUUAGUUGCCAUCAUUAAGUUGGGCACUCUAAGUUGACUGCCGGUGAC
rnacentral:rRNA from 1 species